CAUUUGGAGUCGUCCGGAGGCGCGAAGCGAAACGACUGUUAAGGAGUGGUAUUAUGAAAUAGCUCUCCAAAUAAGGAAGGAGAGGGGAGAAGCGAAACGACUGUAUCUAAUAGGAGUGGUAUUAUUCAAUAGCUCUCCAAAUAAGGAAGGAGAGGGUCAAAGAAUUUGAGGCGAAACGACUGUAUUAUCAUAAAAGAAGGAGUGGUAUUAUUCAAUAGCUCUCCAAAUAGUAAGGAGAGGGGAGAAGCGAAACGACUGUAUCUAAUAGGAGUGGUAUUAUUCAAUAGCUCUCAAAAUAAGGAAGGAGAGGGUCAAAGAAUUUGAGGCGAAACGACUGUAUUAUCAUAAAAGAAGGAGUGGCAUUAUGUUUAUUUUAUAUGGAUUUCUGAGUCCUCCGGACGACUCCAAAUAGAGGAGAGGGUCAAAGAAUUUGAGGCGAAACGACUUCAUUAUUGAAGGAGUGGUAUUAUUCAAUAGCUCUCAAAAUAAGGAAGGAGAGGGUCAAAGAAUUUGAGGCGAAACGACUGUAUUAUAAUAUUAAUAGGAGUGGUAUUAUGAAAUAACUCUCCAAAUAAUAAGGAGAGGGGAGAAGCGAAACGACUGUGAAGGAGCCCUUUAUUUGAAGAAAUCACUCUCCAAAUAGUAAGGUUCGAAGAAAGUCGACUGAUAAGGAGUCAAUGAACAAGGGCGAAUUCCUUAUUCUUAACAGGAGUGCAACGAAAGAAAUCCAUAUAAAGAAUAACCUACGGACGGACCCUUAAUUGAAUCCAUAUUCAUCUGAAAGGAUCAAAGCUCAUUUCAUAAAGAGAAAGCGAAAGUCCUUAUCCCUUAUUAGGAGUGCAACGAAAGAAAUACAUAUGAACCUCCGGACGAGUCAGAAAUCCAUAUUCAUCUUCAAGGUGCGAAGGUACUCGUAGUUUCAGAUAUAGGAGAGGAUCAAAGAAUUAUCGAAAGGCGAGGCGGAGUAGGCGCAAAGAAUUUUCGAGUCCUUAUCCCUAUUAAAAGAUGAAAAGGAUCAAAGCUCAUUUCAUAAAGUGAACCUCCGUCUUCUUUUUUCUAAGAUUUCGAAGGAAAAAAGCCGAGGCUCGACUGAUAAGGAGAGGAGUUGCGAAGUUUGAAAGGAAAAAAGGAUCUCUGAGAAUUUGCUUAACACAUUCAUUCCUUCCUUAUCAAUGAUCCGACUAUCCACUGAAAGUAGAAAAGGAAGACAAGAGAAUAAUCCCACGGAGCGGGGAAGUUCAAGGUUUUCAUAGAAAGGAAGAAAAAGUCAAUGGAAGUCCUGGAGCCUCCUACCCCUUGUUCAUUGAGGCCUUCUCCGCCUCCGGCUUUCUUCUUCUGAUUCUUCUGAACUUAUGAUUUUGAAAUUUCUUGUUCUUGAAUUAAUGUAAUGAAUGAAUGAAAAGAAUGGCGGCUAAGACUGCUUGGGCUAAGAAUAAGAGGAGCUUUUGGAAGGGGAUUCUGACUAUUUCCUUUCAAAAGGAUGGCUAAAAAAGGCUUUCGCCGAUGAAUCGCUAAAGGAUACCAGGAAUAAGACAAGUUUCAGACAAGGGGCGGGCAAGUAAUGGCACAGCGGGGGUAUACCCUGGGGGAUUGAACUGGGUUAGUGAGAGCUAGGGCUAAGUCGCGAGUACUUAGAUAAAGUAGUCAGUCACUAGGUGAAGCAGUAUAUUCUUUUGAUCCAAAGGCACCUCGGUACUUCCAUCCGCCAUCAACAGGCCUAAGCAGGCCUAGUAGCUUGCAUAUUCCCGUAUGAGUAGGGUGAUUUCUGACUUCCGUCUCUGAUUUCGUCCCAUUUUCAGUAGUUCCUUAGCUUAGUCAAGUAGGGAUGGGGGGCUGAUAAGCCGUAAACAAAGCAUUCUAUUCAUGAAUCCAGGGCGUACGUCAGUCAGAGAAGUCUUGGACAAGACCCCACUCCGCGGUGAGGUUUUCAUGAAAGAGAGAGAGAGAAAAAAAACAUAAGAACUCCACAACAAGAGAGAUCAUGAAAGAACAAAGAAAAAGAGAAAUCCAUGAACAAGGGCUCGACUGAAAGGAGAGGCGAGACUGAAUCAAUGAACAAAGGUUUGAGUUCAUUCUUUGACUUCGGAAACCCUUAAGGAAGAAGACGGAGAAUAAAAGGAAGAAAAAGAAAAAAGCCUAUCCUUCUAAACCUACUUAAAGCUUAAAGGAAGAGAGAAUGAAGGAAUCUGACAAGAACAUCGAUCAGUCGCUUCUCAAACUUCUUUCUUCUUUUGAUUUUCAUCAAGUAGAAAACUAUUCUGGUUUUCAUUCUCACUGAAAAAAUGAAGUAAUUCUUCAUCAUGAUAGGAUAGAUCGACGGAGAACUCAGACUAAGAGUUCUCAACUUCGUGUACCAUACAAUUAGGCUCAUAGAGGACGGACAAACUCCCCCGAUCUCGGGAACCGCUCCGUGGGGGGGGAUCGAAAGAGCCAAUUGACCAAGAAUCGGCCUCAUACGACCGAAGCAAGAAUGGCCCUCAUAGGGCAUUGAAGAAGAAAGAGAAGGGGCCUUAGCCUGAUGUACCCUUCCCCGUAUUCAAGGAUAUGGUUCUGCGGGUCAAGGUCCGUAAUGCAAUCCCCGCUCUCUAAUUAAGCUAGGACGGACCGGGAAGAAAAAUGAGUCAAAAGGGAAUAUCCAACUAGAACUAGAAAAGCUCGAACUACUAUACUAAACCGCUACCUACGGGCCGAGUCUCAUUCAUAUGCUUUUACAAUAGGCUAAGAUUACGACCCUGAAGGACCGAGUGGGCUGCCUAAUCAUACCCAAAGACCAUCUCUUUAUCAAAGAAAGAAGAGGCUCGGGAUGCGAGCCCUUGUUCAUUGAGGCGGUUGGGAAGCCUCAUCCGCUCGUCCGGAAAGGUUGAAGAAGUUUCUGCUUUUCUUGCUGCAGAAGCUGAGCCUGCUCUCGUCGUUUAGCUAGACGAACCUGAAUUGACCGCUACGUGGGCUACUUCCCUUUUUACAGGGACAACUAAGGGUACUGCCACAGGGAUGAAUAUGGAGAAAGAAAAAGCUCCAGAUGAGGCUCAAUGAAA